rnacentral:rRNA from 1 species
UUUGCAUACUGCUCAGUAACACGUGGAUAACCUGCCCUACACUGGGGGAUAAUCUCGGGAAACUGAGCAUAAUACCCCAUAGACCACUACGCCUGGAACGGUGAGUGGUUGAAAGCUCAGGCGGUGUAGGAUGGGUCUGCGGCGUAUCAGGUCGUAGGGGGUGUAAUGGACCUCCUAGCCAUCGACGCGUACGGGUUGUGGGAGCAAUAGCCCGGAGACGGAUUCUGAGACACGAAUCCGGACCCUACGGGGUGCAGCAGGCGCGAAAACUUCACACUGCAGGAAACUGUGAUGAGGGAACUCCAAGUGACUGCACAAUGUGUAGCCUUUUCUUGAAUCUUAAUAGUUCUUGGAAUAAGGGCUGGGAAAGACCGGUGCCAGCCGCCGCGGUAAUACCGGCAGCUCAAGUGGUCGUCGCUUUUAUUGGACCUAAAACGUCCGUAGCCUGUUUGGUAAAUCUGUGGGUAAAUCAACGAGCUUAACUCGUUGAAUUCUGCAGAGACUGCCAGACUAGGGACCGGGAGAGGUAUGAGGUACUCUGGGGGUAGGGGUAAAAUCCUGUCAUCCUCAGAGGACCACCUGUUGCGAAGGCGUCAUACUGGAACGGAUCCGACGGUCAGGGACGAAGCCUAGGGGCACGAACCGGAUUAGAUACCCGGGUAGUCCUAGGUGUAAACGCUGUGGAUUUUGGUGUGUGGGGUCCGCAAUGGGCCCCAUGUGCCGGAGUGAAGAUGUUAAAUCCACUGCCUGGGGAGUACGGUCGCAAGGCUGAAACUUAAAGGAAUUGGCGGGGGAGCACUGCAACGGGAGGAGCGUGCGGUUUAAUU